rnacentral:rRNA from 1 species
GAUGAACGCUGGCGGCGUGCCUAAUACAUGCAAGUCGAGCGAACAGAUAAGGAGCUUGCUCCUUUGACGUUAGCGGCGGACGGGUGAGUAACACGUGGAUAACCUACCUAUAAGACUGGGAUAACUUCGGGAAACCGGAGCUAAUACCGGAUAACAUAUUGAACCGCAUGGUUCAAUAGUGAAAGGCGGCUUUGCUGUCACUUAUAGAUGGAUCCGCGCCGUAUUAGCUAGUUGGUAAGGUAACGGCUUACCAAGGCAACGAUACGUAGCCGACCUGAGAGGGUGAUCGGCCACACUGGAACUGAGACACGGUCCAGACUCCUACGGGAGGCAGCUGUAGGGAAUCUUCCGCAAUGGGCGAAAGCCUGACGGAGCAACGCCGCGUGAGUGAUGAAGGUCUUCGGAUCGUAAAACUCUGUUAUCAGGGAAGAACAAAUGUGUAAGUAACUGUGCACAUCUUGACGGUACCUGAUCAGAAAGCCACGGCUAACUACGUG